rnacentral:misc_RNA from 1 species
UAUAUUUGCGCUAUUAUAAGCACUAUAACAUUAUCCAUUCUAUAACUUUGUAGGUAUAAUUCAUAGCUAGGGCUUUCAAUAUCAUUUCUAACAUUGUAAUCAUCCCAAGCUACACAUAGUGCACAGGUGUGAGAGGUGGAUGUGUGAUCAAGGUGUGCACAUAGGCUAGCUACAACCUUUCUCAACAUUCAUUUCAUUAAUGAUCCUUCCGCAGGUUCACCUACGGAAA